AUUUAACGCUGGCGGCAGGCCUAACACAUGCAAGUCGAACGAGUGGCGGACGGGUGAGUAAUGUCUGGGAAACUGCCUGAUGGAGGGGGAUAACUACUGGAAACGGUAGCUAAUAACGCAUACCAUCAGAUGUGCCCAGAUGGGAUUAGCUAGUGGGUGGGGUAACGGCUCACAAGGGCGACGAUCCCUAGCUGGUCUGAGAGGAGGACAAGCCACACGGGAACUGAGACACGGUCCAGACUCCUACGGGAGGCAGCAGUGGGGAAUAUGGAACAAUGGGCGCAAGCCGUAUGCAGCUAUGCCGCGGGUAUGAAGAAGGACUUCGGGGUGUAAAGUACUUUCAGCGGGGAGGCGUUACCCGCAGAAGAAGCACCGGCUAACGCCGUGCCAGCAGCCGCGGUAAUAC
rnacentral:rRNA from 1 species